rnacentral:rRNA from 1 species
GACGAACGCUGGCGGCAUGCUUAACACAUGCAAGUCGAACGGGUCUGCCCUGUUUUUUGCGGGGUGGGUCAGUGGCGAACGGGUGAGUAACACGUGAGUAACCUGCCCCUCACUUCUGGAUAACCGCUUGAAAGGGUGGCUAAUACGGGGUGUUCUGGCUGUGCCGCAUGGUGUGGCUGGGAAAGAUUCACUUUUGUGGUGUUUUGGUGGGGGAUGGGCUCGCGGCCUAUCAGCUUGUUGGUGGGGUGAUGGCCUGCCAAGGCUUUGACGGGUAGCCGGCCUGGGAGGGUGGGCGGUCACACUGGGACUGAGAUACGGCCCAGACUCCUGCGGGAGGCAGCAGUGGGGGGUAUUGCACAAUGGGCGGAAGCCUGAUGCAGCGACGUCGCGUGAGGGAUGGAGGCCUUCGGGUUGUGAACCUCUUUCGCCGGUGAAGAAGGUCCUGCUCUUUGUGGUGGGGUUGACGGUAGCCGGGUUAUGAAGCGCCGGCUAACUACGUG